rnacentral:rRNA from 1 species
UAGGGGGGGCUAACACAUGCAAGUCGAGCGGAACGAGAGAAAGCUUGCUUUCUCGGCGUCGAGCGGCGGACGGGUGAGUAAAGUCUGGGAAAUUGCCCUGAUGUGGGGGAUAACCAUUGGAAACGAUGGCUAAUACCGCAUGAUGUCUACGGACCAAAGAGGGGGACCUUCGGGCCUCUCGCGUCAGGAUAUGCCCAGAUGGGAUUAGCUAGUUGGUGAGGUAAUGGCUCACCAAGGCGACGAUCCCUAGCUGGUCUGAGAGGAUGAUCAGCCACACUGGAACUGAGACACGGUCCAGACUCCUACGGGAGGCAGCAGUGGGGAAUAUUGCACAAUGGGCGCAAGCCUGAUGCAGCCAUGCCGCGUGUAUGAAGAAGGCCUUCGGGUUGUAAAGUACUUUCAGCAGUGAGGAAGGGAGUAGUUUUAACAGAGCUGCUUUUUGACGUUAGCUGCAGAAGAAGCACCGGCUAACUCCGUGCCAGCAGCCGCGGUAAUACGGAGGGUGCGAGCGUUAAUCGGAAUUACUGGGCGUAAAGCGCAUGCAGGUGGUCUGUUAAGUCAGAUGUGAAAGCCCGGGGCUUAACCCCGGAGUUGCAUUUGAAACUGGCAGGCUAGAGUACUGUAGAGGGGGGUAGAAUUUCAGGUGUAGCGGUGAAAUGCGUAGAGAUCUGAAGGAAUACCGGUGGCGAAGGCGGCCCCCUGGACAGAUACUGACACUCAGAUGCGAAAGCGUGGGGAGCAAACAGGAUUAGAUACCCUGGUAGUCCACGCCGUAAACGAUGUCUACUUGGAGGUUGUGGCCUAGAGCCGUGGCUUUCGGAGCUAACGCGUUAAGUAGACCGCCUGGGGAGUACGGUCGCAAGAUUAAAACUCAAAUGAAUUGACGGGGGCCCGCACAAGCGGUGGAGCAUGUGGUUUAAUUCGAUGCAACGCGAAGAACCUUACCUACUCUUGACAUCCAGAGAAGCCGGAAGAGAUUCUGGUGUGCCUUCGGGAGCUCUGAGACAGGUGCUGCAUGGCUGUCGUCAGCUCGUGUUGUGAAAUGUUGGGUUAGUCCCGCACGAGCGCAACCCUUAUCCUUGAUUGCCAGCACUUCGGGUGGGAACUUCAGGGAGACUGCCCGGUGAUAAACCC